CUAUCAGCCUUCAGAAAAGCCCAAGCCUCAUUGCCUUUCUUCUAGAUAAACUUGCCGCAGGAGUUGUGUGCGCUGGGGAAGGGCGUGUGCUUCAAGGAAGGUAACAAGCUAGUGUGUAGGGUGUGGGUGAGGCUGCACCGAUGUUCCUGUCCCCUGGGUCACCUUCCACCCCCAGCAUGAUUUUUAAAUUUUUGUUCUUUUGCAAGUAAGGCGAUCCAAGCAGAGGCGCAGUAGGUCUUGGGGGAAAAGUUGUUAUGAAGCUAAUAGUUGGGAAAGGGCAGUGUUUUAAGAUCUGUUGGAAGAGAUUUCAAGACAAAAAUGAAGUUAUUACUCUGUCUCUUUAUGGACCACCUCCAGAACUACUGGAGGUGCUGAGUUUUAAAAGGAGGAUUUAAAAAUCUUCCCCCACGCCAAAGCUAAUACCAGGCCCUGAGAAUCUGCUACUCUAAUAAGCACCCCAUGUUUUCUCAAAUACUAACUGUAAAUCUUAGCGCUCUCCAGAGUAUUUCAGAGACUGAAAGGAUAUAUCCAUGUGCACAGUUGUACCUCUCUCUUUUUAAACAAAUUACUUCCAUACUGAGAGUGAUGGCUAGCCUGCAGAGAGGCUCCCUGACCUGCCUCCUGGAGCACUGGAAAGGAUAAUUCUAUACAUAGCUUGACCCUGUGCCCUGACCAUGGCUAAUUGGAUCUUAGUUAGACCUCGCAUACAAGGCUGUUGAUCAGUUAAACUUUCUUAAAAUUUUAAAUAAAGAAACAAAGGAAUUGUAGUUAGUCUGUGAUGGGUACUUAUAAACCAGGGAACUGAACCCACCAUUGGGCCUUGUUUCAGGGGCAGAGAAAGACUGCAGAGAAAGCAGGAGAAGCAGAGAGGAGAAGGCAUGUGGCCUCUGGGAGAUGGAAAGAGUAAAUUCGGAAGCUACUUGGUAUUUGUUAGCUGUUGGAUGCCUAAUCAUACCCUCUUCCCUCAGGAAGGAAUUAUCUUUGUUUACGUGAGCUCUGUACUCGUGUGCCCAUUUCUACGAUGGGAUCCAGAGUAGAAAUAGAGGGAAAUUUAUAGUAUCGGGUUGGCCAGAAGUUUCGUUCGUUUUUUCCCGUAAGAUGGCUCUAGUAGCACUUAGUUGUCUUUAACUUCAUUCAAAACAAUUUUGUUAGACUGUAUGUGACAGCUGUCAUAUCAGCGUGCAUUUAAAAAAAGACAUCAAAAUUGGUGAGUUUUUGUGUAGCCAUUUUCACACAUUAUUGACUGGGGGAUUUUUGCAGAAACUAACGCCUGUGGCUGUAAUACGUCUCCGGUCAAAAAUGUGUUAAUAUUGAAGGUGGAAAUAAAAAAACAACAUUUUCGGCAUACUAUGCUUUAUUAUUUCAAGAAAGUUAAAAACGUAACCGAAAUGCAAAAAAAGAUUUGUGCAGUGUAUGGAGAAGGUGCUGAGAGUGCUCGAACCUGUCAAAAGUGGUUUGUGAAGUUUCGUGCUGGAGAUUUCUCACUGGAUGAUGCUCCACAGUCGGGUAGACCAGUUGUUAGCAGUCAAAUGGAGACAUUAAUUGAGAACAGUCAACGUUAUACCAUGCGGGAGACAGCCGACAUACUCAAAAAUUAUCCAAAUCAAGAGUCGAAAAUCAUUUGCACCAGCUUGGUUAUGUUAAUCACUUUGAUGUGUGGGUUCCACAUAAGUGAAGAAAACCUUCUUGACCGUAUUUUCGCAUGCGAUUCUCUACUGAAACGUAAUGAAAAUGUUCCGUUUUUUAAAACACUUAUUUAUUAUUUAUUUUUGCUCGUUGCUGCAUGUAGGCUUUCUCUAAGUUGAGGCAAGCAGGGGCUACUCAUCGUUGCAGUGCGUGGGCCUCUCACCAUGGUGGCUUCUCUUGUUCUGGAGCACGGGCUCCAGGCACGCGGGCUUCAGUAGUUGUGGCUCGCGGGCUUCAGUAGUUGUGGCUCGCGGGCUCUAGAGCACAGGCUCAGUAGCUGUGGUGCACGGGCUCAGUUGCUCCGUGGCAUGUGGGAUCUUCCCGGACCAGGGCUUGAACCCGUGUCCCCUGCAUUGGCAGGCGGAUUCUUAACCACUGCGCAACCAGGGAGGUCCUGGUGAUGAAAAGUGGAUACUGUACAAUAAUGUGGAAUGGAAGAGAUCAUGGGGUAAGUGAAAUGAACCACCACUAACCACACCAAAGGCCAGUCUUCAUCCAAGGAAGGUGAUGUUGUGUAUAUGGUGGGAUUGGAAGGGAGUCCUCUAUUAUGAGCUCCUUCCAGAAAACCAAUCGAUUAAUUCCAACAAGUGCUGCUCCCAGUUAGACCAACUGAAAGCAGCACUUGACAAAAAGCGUCCAGAAUUAGUCGAUAGAAAACACAAAAUCUUCCAUCAGGAUAACACAAAGCUGCAUGUUUCUUUGAUGACCAGGCAAAAACUGUUACAGUUUGGCUGGGAAGUUCUGAUUCAUCCACCGUAUUCACCAGACAUUGCACCUUUGGAUUUCCAUUUAUUUUGGUCUUUACAAAAUUCUCUUGAUGGAAAAAAUUUCAAUUCCCUGCAAGAUUGUAAAAGGCACCUGGAACAGUUCUUUGCUCAAAAAGAUAAAAAGUUUUGGGAAGAUAGAAUUAUGAAGUUGCCUGAAAAAUGGCAGAAGGUAGUGGAACAAAACGGUGAAUACGUUGUCUAAAAAAGUUAUUGGUGAGAAUGAAAAAUGCGUCUUUUAUUUUUACUUAAAAACCAAAGGCACUUUUUGGCCAACCCAGUACUAAAUGCCUAUUAGGAAAGAUGAAAAGGCUCAAAUGGAUGACCUCAGCCUCCACUUAAAGAUACAAGAAAAAGAAGAGCAAACCCAAAGUAAGCAGAAGAAAGGAAGUAAUAAAGAGUGGUAAUAAAUGAAAUAGAACACAGAAACAAAAUCAAUGAAACCAAAAGUGGAUUCUUAAGAGAUCAACAGAGUUGCUAAUCCUCUAACCAUAAAGACCAGCCAAGAAAGAGAAGAUGCAAAUUACCACCUCAGGAACAGGACAGUUGACAUCACUACAGAUUCUGCAGAUAUACUUGGUAUGUUUGUAUUUAAGGUCCUUGCAUUGAAGUAAGUUUCCUUAAAAAUUAGUGUUAUUUUGUGCAAAAAAAAAAAAAAAAAAAAAAGGUGAGUUCUACACAUUCCUAAUUUGGCCUCGUUUUGAAAAGUUUGCCAAAUGACAAGUGCUGAUGUCGCUUGGUGCUAUCAACUUCUUGGUUCCCUCAGAAAUUUAGUUAUUUACAGUAUGUAACUUUAAUGCAUAUGAUCAAUAAUAUUCUAACUAAAUAGUUAAGCCUACUUUCAUAUUAUUGGAAAUACAGUAGGGUUUAUGCUUAUUAAAAUGUGAAUUAUGAUUGUUUCCUUCCUUUCUUCCUCCCUCUCUUCCACCCCUUCCUAUUCCCCUCCCUCCCUCUUCCCCCCCCCCCCACCAACAGCUUAGAACAAAUUGUAAUCAUAUUUGAGGAAUGAGUGUAUCUGUUUACUGUUGGGUUCUGUGAUAGCUGUAUUCUUACAACUAUCCUUUUCCUUUCUUUUUCUUUUUUUUCCCUGUCACUUAUAUUAGUUUGUUCUGUUCUUUGCAUAAAAAGAAACUUGAGUAGAACACCAAGUGUUUUAACUUCUUUAAUUCGUAUGUAUAAAUUACCCAAGGAUGUCAGGUACUGGGUAGAUUAUGCUGAGCAGGAACGUCAUGGUCCUGUCUUCACGGAAACCAGACUAUGAGUAAUGCAAACCGGUAAGUGUCACAAAGGUAAAGUACAGAGUGCUAUGAGAGUCUACUACUUAGGCAGUUAGAGAAGGCUUCCUUGAGGGAGUGACUUACAGCUAAGAUUUUAAGGAUGAGCAGGAGUUACCUGGCAGAAUUCAUGAUUUAUAUGAAAAUUUUCGACCCAAUGGCCACUGGUUUCUCAGGCAGCCUGUUACAUGGGCGUCACUCUAGCUGUUUUGCCUCUGUUACGAGAAAGGAGCUUAUAUAGGUCUAAAUAAUUCUCCACAGGUUAAGAGUUCAUCUUUGGCAAGGGCAAGUUAAAAUUUACAAUGGCAAUUGCUCUGGAUCAAGCUCAACUUGUUCUCCCCUGUGAAGUGGGAGUGUGUUUGCUUUCCUCACAGGGCUCAUGUGAGGACUGAAUAAGAUAAUGAAGGUCAAGGUACUCUGUACACCGCAAAGCCUGACGUAGUGUAAGGUGGUAUUAUUCUCCAAGUUCUUCUUCCUGUAGUGGUAUGGCUGCUUUACUACUGGGCCAAGAUGUUGACAUACCAUGUUGACACUAAAAUUCAUCUAAGAAGCAACACCUAAGGAUGUAAUUUCCAGGAGGGACAUUUUUUCAAACAAAUAUUUUCUUGGUUUUUGUUUUUUAGACUCGUGUUCAGGGACGGCAAAACAAAAGAUUCUAGGGCAAUUCAUAGACCAAGAAAUCUUCAUUCUGUGUCUUUCCUUGUGCUCCCCAUAAAUACAGUGGCAGAGUGUUGUCUGUCUUCUCUUACAAGUUAGACCCAAAAUGCUCAGAGCAGCUGGGACUAGGGCUGCCCGUGCUGUCAUGUUACUGGGAGGUGCUGAGCGAUUCGGACCGGAGGGUCACACGUAGGUGAUGUCUGGGGGCCUUUGGCCUUUGUUUGCUCAGUGUUCUCAUGCAUGUGACUUCUCACCCCAGGUAGGAAUCUCUGUGGGGACUGGAGCAUAUCUUCAGCUCUUUCUGUAUCUCUCUGAGCUGCAGGGCAUCACAUCUGUGGGACUAAACAUUUCACAGUGUCUGGAAACAGCUACUUGGGCAGCUUUGAGAAGGGAUGGGGCUGCUCUACAGGCAGACCCUGAGCUACAGCUUCCUGCCUCUCCUCGUGAAGUCAGUGGUCACCCCUGGCUGAACCCUUAACUAGGGCCUUAAGUGGCAUUACAGGAAGAGGAAGGGGGCAGGAUGACCGAGGCCCCCAGUUUUUGUUUUCUCCUGCUGUACAGAGGACUAGACUCGGCACCCUGGGCUUCAUUUUUUAUGGGAGUAUCCAUAAAAGUGCAGUCACAGGCUGAAGGCUGCCUGAUAGAUGACUCAGUUAGUAGUCACUCAUUGCAGACUGCUGAAAGAAUCCAAGAUGUCAUGUUGACGUCAGGCCUAAUAAAGGUGCUCCUCACCUGAUCUGGGAGGAGCUGGGAAAAGCCGGGAGGAUUGGGGAAGAAAAGGACACAGGGCAGCCACUUUCUUAGGGACUUAAGCAAGAACAGCAUCAUUCGCAUUUCUGAGCUACUUUCCUAGCAUUAGGAUAAGGCAAGGGAGUAGCGUCUGAUGAUCUUGGACAACAGGUGCCUCAGAAGGCAGGCCAGGGGCUUCCCUGGUGGCACAGUGGUUGGGGGUCCGCCUGCCGAUGCAGGGGACACGGGUUCGUGCCCCGGUCCGGGAAGAUCCCACAUGCCGCGGGCUGGGCCCGUGAGCCAUGGCCGCUGAGCCUGCACGUCUGGACUGUGCUCCACAACGGGUGAGGCCACAGCAGUGAGAGGCCCGUGUACUGCAACAACAAAAAAAAAGAAAGCAGGCAAGCAUCUUGGCCUGUAGCAACUGCUAAAAGAGCAGCUCCACCCCUGUGCUGUGUUCUCCCCUGCACCAGCCUUUGUGGGUUAUGGAGAACCCCUGGAGGGAAGACUUGGAUUUGUGUCUGGGGUCUGCCAGCCGAGAGAGUCCACUAAAAUAUUUUCCAGCAUGUGCUGAGACCAACAGUUUAGCAACCAUUCCAGCAAAGCAGCUUCUACUUGUUUUUAGUAAUUAUAGCUGCAAACUAGCGUUUGCUUAUACUCUUCAAGUAUAUAAUGUAUGUAAGACUUUUUUAUUCCCCCUUUGGAGACAAGUCAAGCCUCUACCGUUGGACAGCUUUGCCCUGUCCCAGGUACCUACAAUUGGAUAGGUUUUGGCAAAGGUUGGCGCCAGUUUCUCUUGGUAAACCAGGUUUGGUCAUUAUAUUAGUCAUACAUUGCCAUACAUAGUUACAAAUUUUUUUUUCUUGUGAUGAGGAUGUUUAACAUGUACUCUUAGCAAAUUCCAAAUAUGCAAUUCAGUAUUGUUAACUAUAGUCACUACGGUGUACAUGACAUCCCCAUGGCUUGUUUUGUAACUGGAACUCCGUGCCUUUGGACCCCCUUCACCUAUUUCUCCCACUCCACACCCCCACCUCUGGCAACCAUCUAUCUGUUGUCCAUAUCUAUGAGCUUUGUUUUUGUCCUGUUGUAGUUUUUUUUUUUUUUUUAAUUCCACAUAUAAGUGAGAUAAUAAGGGAGAUCAGCUCGGUGCUUUGUGACCACCUAGAGGGGUGGGAUAGGGAGGGUGGGAGGGAGACGCAAGAGGGAGGGGAUAUAGGGAUAUAUGUCUACAUAUAGCUGAUUAACUUUGUUUUACAGCAGAAACUAACACACCAUUGAAAAGCAAUUAUACUCCAAUAAAAAUGUUUUUAAAAAAGAUAAUAAAGUAGGUUUCUUUCUCUUAUUUCACUUAACAUAGUGCCCUCAAGGUCUAUCCAUAUUGUCACAAAUGGCAAGAUUUCAUUCUUUUUUUUUUUUCAUUUUUUUAAUGGCAGAAUAGUAUUCUGUUGUAUGUGUAUAUAUACACAUCUUCUUUAUCCAUGCAUCCUUUGAUGGAUAGGAUACUUAGGUUGUUUCCAUAUCUUGGCUCUUAUAAAUAAUGCUGCAAUGAAUGUGGGAUUUCAGAUCAGUGUUUUGUUUUGUUUUUUUUUCCAGAUAAAUACCCAGAAGUGGGAUUACUGGAUCAUAUGGUAGUUCUAUUUUUAAUUUUUUGAGGAACCUCCAUACUGUUUUCCAUAGUGCCUAUAUCAAUAUACAUUCCUACCAACAGUGCACAAGGGUUCCCUUUUCUUCACAUCCUUGUCUUUUAUUAUUUUAUUAAAAAUUAAAUUUUUUAAAUUAAAAUUUAAAAUUAAAAAGUUUUUAAUUUAAAAAUUAAAAAAAUGUUGAAUUAAAAAAUUUUUCUUUUAUUUGGCCAUGCUGCACAGCUUGUAAUAUCUUAGUUCCCCAACCAGGAACUGAACCCGGGCAAUGGCUGGUGAAAGUGCCGAGUCCUAACCACUGGAUCUCCAGUGAACUCCCCCUUGUCUUUUUUUUUUUUUUUUAACAUCUUUAUUGGGGUAUAAUUGCUUUACAAUGGUGUGUUAGUUUCUGCUUUAUAACAAAGUGAAUCAGCUAUCCCAUACUAUGUUGAAUAAAAGUGACAGUGGGCAUCUUUGUCUUUUUCCUCAUCUUAGAGGAAAGGCUUUCAGCUUUUCAUUGUUGGCUGUGGACUUGUCAUCUAUGACUUUUAUGUUGAGGUAUGUUUACUCUGUAUGAGUUUUUAUCAUGGACGUUGAGUUUUGUCAGAUGCUUUUUCUGCAUCUAUUGAGAUGAUCAUGUGUUUUAUCCUUCAUUUUGUUAAUGUGGUAUAUAGCACAUUGAUUUGUGGAUGCUGAACCACUCUUGCGUCCUUGUACUAAUUCCACUUAUCAUGGUGUAUGAGCCUUUUAAUGUAUUGUUGAAUUCAGUUUGCUAAUAUCUUGUUAGAGAAUUUUUGCCUCUAUGUUUAUUGGGGAUAUUGACCUGUAAUUUUCUUUUCUUAUGGUGUCCUUGUCUGGUUUUGGUAUGAGAGUAAUGCUGGCCUCAUAAAAUGAUUUUGGAAGUGUUCCUUCCUCUCCUGUUUUUGGAAGUUUGAGGAGGAUUGGUAUUAGUUCCACUUUGAAUGCUUGGUAGAAUUCACCAGUGAAGAUACCUGGUCCUGGACUUUUGUUUAUUGGGAGGCUUUUUUUUUUUUCUUUAAAUUUUAUUUAUUUAUUUAUUUAUGGCUGUGUUGGGUCUUUCUGUGCGAGGGCUUUCUCUAGUUGCGGCGAGUGCGGGCCUCUCACUAUCGCGGCCUCUCUGGUUGCGGAGCACAGGCUCCAGACGCACAGGCUCGGUAGUUGUGGCAAACGGGCCUAGUUGCUCUGCGGUAUGUGGGACCUUCCCAGACCAGGGCUCAAACCCGUGUCCCCUGCAUUGGCAGGCAGAUUCUCAACCACUGUGCCACCAGGGAAGCCCUGGGAGGCUUGUUGAUUACAAUCUCCUUACUAGUGAUCAGACUAUUCACAUUUUCUAUUUCUUCAUGAUUUAAUCCUAGAGGCUGUGUUUCUAGGAAUUUAUCCAUUUCUUCUGGGUUAUCCAAUUUGUUGGCAUAUAAUUAGUUGUUCAUAGUACUCUUAUGAUCCUUUGUAUAUGUGUGGUACAGUUGUAAUGUCUCCCCUUUCACUUCUGAUUUUACUUAAUUGAGCCCCUUUUAUUCUUGGUGAGUCUAGUUAAGGGUUUGUCAGAGGAGCUGUUUUCACUUUGAGAAGCCACUUGAAUGGUAGUGUCAACUCCCCUUCUUAGUCUGAAACUGUGUUUUCCCUGUAACUACAGAUAUCAAGGAUGAGUUUUCAAUCUACACAAUAAUGUCCUGGGUGUCAGGAAGAGAGUAAUUUCCUUUCAUAACCCAGCCCACGUCCAGGCAGAGUAGGCACGCACUCAGACAUAUGAGGGAGGGUAAAAUCCUUCUUAGAUCAGAGAGAGAGCAGAGUUUAACAGAUGUCUUCAAAGCCACAUCUUUGAAACCUUGACUCUUUGACUAAUGAGCUUGGAUAAACUGAGCUGAGGAAAGCAGCUUGUUGGCAGAGCCAUUUUUAUCACAAUAAAUACUAAUUACAACCAUUCUAUGUAUUUCUCCGCCCUUUGAGGACCUAUCAGCAUCAGUCUGAGGGGCAGGUGGUGAAGAUAUGUAAGAUCUCAGGUGUCACCAGCAGAAGAUGGUAAUGAAAGCUUCCUCUCAAAGACUAAGAUUUAGAACUGUCGUCUACUCUGUGGUACUCUUGAAGCCGGCUCCCAUGUCCCACAUGCAAAUCUUACAUAGUAAUUCCUAGGCCAUCAUAAAGGUGUCUGCGCAGUGCGUUCAGCUUGGGGCCCCUAGGUUCUCUGCUCUUGCCACUACAGACUUCAAGGUACACACAUGACUAGCCCUUUAAACCCAUGGCAGGCAGAGAAAGAAGGUGAAACAAAUAGUGUUUGGUUCUACAAGGCAGGGUACAGUCUCAGUGGAGAUGGUGGGGGGGCUACAUAUUAGAAAAAUGGAUUUAGUAGAGUCUGUACUUACCCUCACUUUGAGUCUAAGUAAAUAAAUGUUCUCUUCCUUGGUGGCUUGAUACUGUGAUACACUCAAUUACUUGUUUUUCUGAUAGUAUAGUAGUCUGGAAACUUUAUGGUAUGGGUAUCUUCUAACAUCUUGUUUUUCUGCUUGGUCUUCAGAACUUAUAAGAGGCAACCUACUAGGUCUGGGGUUGGCAAAUUAUGCUUUUUUUUUUUUUUUUUUUUGGUAAAGUUUUGUUGGAACAUAGCCAUGCAUAUUCAUUUGUGUUGUCUAUGGCUACUUUUGUACUGAAGCAGAAUUGAGUAGCUGUGAUAGAGACAUAGCCUGCAAACCUAAAAUAUUAACUAUCCCUUUAAGAAAAAGUUUGUCAACUCCAGUAGGACUUACUUCUCAUUUAGGGCAGUGGAUCACAUGACUGAACAUCAAGGCAAGGCACCUCUGACGGUGAGCUUCGUUUAUCUAAUUUAAAGCUGGUCAAGGUAAGUUUUUUUUUU